UUUACUGGUUCAACAUGAUAAUCUUCUUUGGUUACAUGUGCAUGAAAAAUUAUACAAUAAUUACAGGAUUAUGUAAGAAAUAGAAAGAAGAAGGAUAAAAAAAUUAAAAGCAAAAAUAAAGAGGGACAUGUCUCUUAUAGGAGGAAUAAAACAAUUAAAGGUAAAAUUGCAAAAGUGAAGAUGGUGGCGUGCCUUUCAAAUAGGAGGAGCAUGGAGCAUGGAG
rnacentral:lncRNA from 1 species